GGGGAGGCAGCAGUAGGGAAUAUUGGGCAAUGGGCGCAAGCCUGACCCAGCGACGCCGCGUGAGGGAUGAAGGUCUUCGGAUUGUAGACCUCUUUCAGUAGGGAGGAAGCGAAAGUGACGGUACCUAAAGAAGAAGCACCGGCUAACUAUGUGCCAGCAGCCGCGG
rnacentral:rRNA from 1 species